GCGGGUUAUCCCAACAAAUUUUGGUUUUGACCCCAUUGUCUAAUCCUGUUGGUGAAGCUGAAGAACGGUACCAAGAGACACACAUGGCAUCGAGGCGAGUAAUUUAGCGUGCCUUCGGUGUACUUAAAAGCCGGUUUAGAUGUAUAGACACUUCCGGUGGUGCUCUUUUGUACUCACCGGCGAAGGUUUGCGGCAUGGUAAAUGCAUGUUGUAUUUUACACAACAUAUGUGUCGCAAACCGUUUGCCGGUGACUCUUCGUCGCAGGGCUUUCCGACGCAGGAACCGUUCUUCUGCUCCACCGGUAGGUAUGGACGAUGGAGAUGAUUCUCGAAGGACGCUGAUCAACACUUUUUUUUCCACUGCCUUAUUACAGAGUUGCACAGUUUACGUCCUGUUGACGGCCCUUCCCAGGAAUAUUUUCGUCCGGUUGACACCCUGUUACCCCCAGUUUUUUUCUGUUGUUGGUUUGCCGCAGUUAUUUGGCCAGUUUACCCCCUCUACCAUGGACAUCCUACUUGUGAUGUGGACCUGAACCACCGCCAUGUUACAGAGUCACUCUUUCAGGUCUUAUGAAGUAUCCUUCCCAAAGUUCUGUACCCAGCGUGGAUGUGAAAUGACACGACAGUACCCCAGCUGUACCAUGGGUGACAUACUUGUGAUGUGGACCUGAACCUCCGCCAUGUAGCAGACACCCCCCUCAGGUCUUGCAGAGUAUCCUUCCCAAGUUGCAGUAACCAGCGUGGAUGUGAAGUGACACAACAGUUCCCCUGCUGUACCAUGGCUGACCUACCACAAUACCUUCAAUACCACCGCAUCUCUGAAAUGCCCUAUUUUACAUUUCAUUUACUAAGAAUUUAAAGAA